rnacentral:rRNA from 1 species
AGAGUUUGAUCCUGGCUCAGGAUUAACGCUGGCGGCAUGCCUAAUACAUGCAAGUCGAACGAGAGUAGCAAUACUCUAGUGGCGAACGGGUGAGUAACACGUAGGUAACCUGCCUUAGAGACGAGGAUAACUACUGGAAACGGUAGCUAAAACUGGAUAGGAUAUUGAGGGGCAUCCCUUAAUAUUUAAAAGUCCUUAUGGGAAUACUCUAAGAUGGACCUGCGGUGCAUUAGCUAGUUGGUGAGGUAACGGCCCACCAAGGCGACGAUGCAUAGCUGUGCUGAGAGGCAAAACAGCCACACUGGGACUGAGACACGGCCCAGACUCCUACGGGAGGCAGCAGUAGGGAAUUUUCGGCAAUGGGCGAAAGCCUGACCGAGCAAUGCCGCGUGAAUGAAGAAAUUCUUCGGAAUGUAAAGUUCUGUUAUUGAGGACGAAAGAUAGUAUCAGGAAAUGGGUAUUAUUUGACGGUACUUGAUGAGAAAGCCCCGGCUAACUAUGUGCCAGCAGCCGCGGUAAUACAUAGGGGGCGAGCGUUAUCCGGAUUUAUUGGGCGUAAAGCGUGCGUAGGUGGCUAUUUAAGUCUGGCGUGAAAUGUCACAGCUUAACUGUGAAGGGUCGUUGGAAACUGGAUAGCUUGAAUCCAGAAGAGGUAAGUGGAAUUCCAUGUGUAGCGGUAAAAUGCUUAGAUAUAUGGAGGAACACCAGUGGCGAAGGCGGCUUACUGGUCUGGUAUUGACACUGAGGCACGAAAGCGUGGGUAGCAAACAGGAUUAGAUACCCUGGUAGUCCACGCCGUAAACGAUGAGCACUAAGUGUCGGACGAAAGUUCGGUGCUGAAGUUAACGCAUUAAGUGCUCCGCCUGGGGAGUACGGUCGCAAGACUGAAACUCAAAGGAAUUGACGGGGACUCGCACAAGCGGUGGAGCAUGUGGUUUAAUUCGACGCAACGCGAAAAACCUUACCAGGCCUUGACAUCCCUCUGCAAGCUCUAGAGAUAGAGACCUCCCUUCGGGGACGGAGGAGACAGGUGGUGCAUGGUUGUCGUCAGCUCGUGUCGUGAGAUGUUGGGUUAAGUCCCGCAACGAGCGCAACCCUUAUCAUUAGUUGCUAACAGUCAGAUGAGCACUCUAAUGAGACUGCCAGCGAUAAGUUGGAGGAAGGUGGGGAUGACGUCAAAUCAUCAUGCCCCUUAUGGCCUGGGCUACAC